UCGGGAAAGCAAGCAAUCGCCGCCUUCCUUCCUCUUUAAAGAGGUUGAGAAGGGGGAGGAAAGUCUGGACUUCACAGGAGAAGAUACCAGUGAAAGACUGGGGGCCGCAAGGCUACGGAAAGUGUAACAGAAAACAUACCGCCGGACCGACGCUUGAGCCUUGAGCUGCAGCAUCGCCGGAGAGGCUGAAAAUGCAGUCUUAAUGGAGACUGCCACACUUACAGAGAUGUAAGGUGCUAUAAACCCUAUCUGAAGCAAGACAAAAGACGGGCGCUUCCUGUUCUCCGCAGAGCCUGUCUUAAACGUCGCUUGAGGACCUUGGCGACAAGGUCCCUAGAGGAAUGAUUGCUCAACGACAGAAUCCGGCUUAACGCUUUCCCGAAUCU
rnacentral:RNase_P_RNA from 2 species